rnacentral:rRNA from 1 species
CACGUAGGGCGCAAGCGUUGUCCGGAAUUAUUGGGCGUAAAGAGCUCGUAGGCGGUCUGUUGCGUCCGCUGUGAAAACCCGGGGCUUAACCCCUGGCUUGCAGUGGAUACGGACAGACUAGAGGUAGGUAGGGGAGAAUGGAAUUCCCGGUGUAGCGGUGAAAUGCGCAGAUAUCGGGAGGAACACCGGUGGCGAAGGCGGUUCUCUGGGCCUUACCUGACACUGAGACGCGAAGGCGUGGGGAGCGAACGGG